AUUCCAAAGAGAAAAUCUCUUAGAGGAAGCACGCGCGACAUCUCCUGUGUGUUCCGAAGCGCUCUCGCUCUCUCUCAGCUGCUCUACCCUCUCCCCUCAGAGAAGAAGAAGAAGAAGAAAAGUCCAAGCACACACUACUUCCUAGCCCCCCACUGCCCACCCUUGGGUCUCCGCGAGCCUCUGAAUGCUGUAGCGCCGCUGUUAGGAGGUGGUACCCGCCGGCACCUUUUCGCCCGCCACCCCUGACUCCCUUUUUCCAACUCCCGGGAUUUCUCGCGAGACCCAUACCUGCCGGCUUUGGGAUUAGAAGUCGAAGCACCGAUUUACAAAUACUGGCCUCCCAGUUACGUUGCGGGGGCAACAGCCACGGCAUGUCUCCCCCGCCCCCCAGGACCGCAGUGCGCGCGCGCGGGGGCUGGGAAACGACCAAAGCAGGGAUGGGAAAGGGAAGCUAUGAAACUGAUUUUUGACGGCAUGUAACCGCUAGGCCUGGGCACGUGCCCUGCGCCUCGCAGACGGGUGCGAUGUACCCUGGGAAUUGUAGUUUUUCUUCCCACCUAUGGUCCGACUCCCACCCUCAGUUUUACUUAGGCCUCUGACCGGGAGGGGGAUUUCCGACGCCAUUUUGCCGGGAACAAUGGCCCUCGGCCCUGAUGGUGGCAGGUGGGGGAGGGAGCAAUGGUUUUAAGGGUUCGGUGAACCUCCUCGGCCCCUUGGUGCCAUAGCAACCCCUUCAGAGACCUGGUCCCGCCCCCUCGCCGCCGCCAGGCUUCUAGAGCGCGCGCAUGCGGAAAGGCUGCCUCCCACUGAGACUGGCUCUCUGUGUCUCCCACCGGCCACCUCCUUGAAAAACUCCCAGAUCCUCUAGCUGGUAGUGAAUGCUGCCUCCUUCGAGCUUUCGGUACAUGUUAGCCUCGGCGCAGCGGCUUCAAACUGCUUCCUGUGCUAUGCCAGAAGCAGUAUAGAAUUGUUUCCGUCAUUCUCCCAUGAAUAAUCCCGGCCCGACAGAGGAGGAAAUUGAGGCUCAGGAGGGGAAAUGGACAUGAAUUGCUCAACUUCAUACUAUUUGUGGAGUUAGAACUUGAACCCAGGUGUGCUCACUCCAGAGCCGAGGCAUUUUUCAAUCUCCCGGGAGUCAUCUGGUGGCGCAGCUAAAGGGCAGGGCAUUCUUUUCGAAUGCCCCUCAAGCUAGGAGGCUGUGUGGGAAAUAUCUGACUAAUGCUUUCAGCCCUCCAGCCUCGGCCCUAUCACUGAGUUAUCCCUUCUCCACUACCUAUUUUUCUUUUCCUGCUGUAGGCCUCAGAAAUCUCAGUCUUUUUCAGCUCUUUAAAACAGCACAAUCAAUACAUUUAACUCAGGUUUCCAAAGUCCAAAUAAAGUGUAAUGGUUUAUCUUUGACUUUGUAAGGGGGGGGUGAGUAUAAUGAUG
rnacentral:lncRNA from 1 species